rnacentral:rRNA from 1 species
AUACCAGCUCUCCGAGUGGUGUGGAUGUUUAUUGGGCCUAAAGCAUCCGUAGCUUGCUGAGCCAGUCCCCUGUUAAACCCACCGAUUUAAUCGUUGGAUUGCGGGGGAUACUGCUCGGCUAGGGGACGGGAGAGGCAGACGGUAUUUUCGGGGUAGGGGUGAAAUCCUAUAAUCCCGGGAAGACCACCAGUGGCGAAGGCUGUCUGCUAGAACGCGCCCGACGGUGAGGGAUGAAAGCUGGGGGAGCGAACCGGAUUAGAUACCCGGGUAGUCCCAGCUGUAAACUAUGCAGGCUAGGUGUUUGGGCGGCCACGUGCCGCUCUAGUGCCGCAGGGAAGCUGUUAAGCCUGCCGCCUGGGGAGUACGGUCGCAAGAUUGAA